rnacentral:rRNA from 1 species
CAGCACCUCAAGUGGUCAGGAUGAUUAUUGGGCCUAAAGCAUCCGUAGCCGGCGCUGUAAGUUUUCAGUUAAAUCUGUACGCUCAACGUACAGGCUGCCGGGAAUACUGCAGCGCUAGGGAGUGGGAGAGGUAGACGGUACUCGGUAGGAAGGGGUAAAAUCCUUUGAUCUAUUGAUGACCACCUGUGGCGAAGGCGGUCUACCAGAACACGUCCGACGGUGAGGGAUGAAAGCUGGGGGAGCAAACCGGAUUAGAUACCCGUGUAGUCC